rnacentral:rRNA from 1 species
UACAGAGGUGCCAAGCGUUAGGCGGAAUCACUGGGCUUAAAGCGCGUGUAGGCGGGUUGUUAAGUGUCUUGUGAAAUCCCACGGCUCAACCGUGGAACUGCUGGGCAUACUGACGAUCUUGAGGCACUCAGGGGCUGUCGGAACAAAUGGUGGAGCGGUGAAAUGCGUAGAUAUCAUUUGGAACGCCAGCGGUGAAAACAGACAGCUGGGGGUGUCCUGACGCUGAGGCGCGAAAGCCAGGGGAGCGAACGGG